GACGAACGCUGGCGGCGUGCUUAACACAUGCAAGUCGAACGGAAAGGCCCUGCUUUUGUGGGGUGCUCGAGUGGCGAACGGGUGAGUAACACGUGAGUAACCUGCCCUUGACUUUGGGAUAACUUCAGGAAACUGGGGCUAAUACCGGAUAGGAGCUCCUGCUGCAUGGUGGGGGUUGGAAAGUUUCGGCGGUUGGGGAUGGACUCGCGGCUUAUCAGCUUGUUGGUGGGGUAGUGGCUUACCAAGGCUUUGACGGGUAGCCGGCCUGAGAGGGUGACCGGCCACAUUGGGACUGAGAUACGGCACAGACUCCUACGGGAGGCAGCAGUGGGGAAUAUUGCACAAUGGGCGGAAGCCUGAUGCAGCAACGCCGCGUGCGGGAUGACGGCCUUCGGGUUGUAAACCGCUUUCGCCUGUGACGAAGCGUGAGUGACGGUAAUGGGUAAAGAAGAGCCGGCUAACUACGUGC
rnacentral:rRNA from 1 species